CCCUACGGGACGCAGCAGUGGGGGAUAUUGCACAAUGGGGGAAACCCUGAUGCAGCGACGCCGCGUGAGUGAAGAAGUAUUUCGGUAUGUAAAGCUCUAUCGGCAGGGAAGAAAAAAAUGACAGUACCUGACUAAGAAGCCCCGGCUAACUACGUGCCAGCAGCCGCGGUAAUGCGUAGGGGGCAAGCGUUAUCCGGAUUUACUGGGUGUAAAGGGAGCGUAGACGGCAGCGCAAGUCUGGAGUGAAAUCCCAUGGCUUAACCAUGGAACUGCUUUGGAAAAUGUGCAGCUGGAGUGCAGGAGAG
rnacentral:rRNA from 1 species